UCUCCUUAACACACCCAAAACUUUCAAUUUCACGCACUGGAUAAGCCUCCUUUUGUGGACCUCUCUCUCUAUCUUUUUUCCCGAGAAACUUUCGGCAAUGCACUUUUUCCCGGAAAAUCUCUAACUACCAACUUUUCUAUUCUUUCUUUCUAUACAAUGGCAGCUGUGAUUUCUUUGUCUUUCUCAGUACCAAGUCAAUGUCCUGAGAGAAAAGCGAUCGUAUCUUCUACUCGUACUUCAGCUACGAAUUCUGAAGGAUUUCGAUUGCGUUCGAGUUUGUCGUGUCACUAUGUGGGCGUUCGAUCCUCGGUUUCUUGUAGUAGGGUCAUUCAUUGCUUGUCCACCUCCAUAGAGGUGCCCACUGUAUCUGAGACGAAGUUGAAUUUCCUUAAGACGUAUAAUCGACCUAUUCCCACUGUCUAUAACAAUGUGCUUCAGGAGCUGAUUGUCCAGCAACAUUUGAUGAGGUACAAGAGAACAUACCAAUAUGACCCUGUGUUCGCCCUUGGUUUUGUUACCGUGUAUGAUCAACUCAUGGAAGGAUAUCCUAGUGAUGAGGACCGAGAUGCCAUCUUCAAAGCAUACGUAAGGGCACUGAAGGAGGACCCAGAUCAAUAUAGAGUUGAUGCACAAAAAUUGGAAGACUGGGCUCGGGCUCAGACUGCCACUUCAUUGGUUGAGUUUGCCUCUAGAGAAGGAGAAGUUGAGGGGAUAUUGAAGGACAUCGCAGAAAGAGCUGGGGGUAAGGACAGUUUCAGCUACAGCCGUUUCUUUGCUGUUGGGCUCUUUCGUCUUCUUGAGUUGUCAAAUGCAACCGAACCCACAAUUUUAGAAAAGCUCUGUGAAGCCUUGAAUGUUAACAAAAGAAGUGUGGAUCGGGAUCUUGAUGUAUAUCGCAAUUUGCUUUCCAAGCUGGUUCAGGCAAAAGAGCUUCUAAAGGAAUACAUGGAUAGGUGAAAACAAUUACUUUAACAGAAUCUUUAUCUUGUACUUCUUCAGUGUUACUCUAUUAUUACACACGACUGGUUCUUCUAGUGGGAUGAUAAUUAUACAAAUGUGUGGACUAGAUAAAGUCUACAAAUUCAUCAAUUUCCAAAACUGGAAGAUUGAACUGUCUUCUUUUCUGGAAUUUGUAAGAGGACCAGAAUUUCCAAACCUUAGCACAGGGAGGUAAAUCAUAUCAGAAUCAUACCGUAGGAGUGAGACUCAUUGAACUUCCUAACUCUCACACGAAGUCCCUCAAAGAAUAGUUAUUCACAUGACACAACAUUUUGGGGUUCGAAUUCAAGUCUUUUUAUUAUCUUGGGCUUUUGUUACCACCUCAGCCUUCCUUAAGGUGGCAAAGGGCUGAUCUUGGGUGGGGUUGUGGUAGGUCUUAGUUUUGUACCAAU